AUCCAUCCUUUCCCUCAGCCGCCGCCGCCACUCUCUCGCUUCCCCUCGGGAUCUCCUGCCGAUUCAAUCCCCCCGACCACUUCCCUGGUUUUCAGCGCCGCCUAAUCACAACAGCCUACCACCAUCCUCCGCCCGAGACCCUGGUCGUCGCUCCCAAGUUCCUCUGCCUGCGCUCUCUCCGCAGCCGCCCGAGGACGCGCCUCCUCGUCCCCGCACAGCCCGGAAUGAGUGGGAGAUGUCAUGGUCGCCCGCGGAAGCUCCGUCAUCGUCGGGAUCGUUCCUCCGGCCUCGGCCCCGGAUCCGCGCAUCCUUGACGUUUCCCGCGCCUCUGCCUGUGUUGCUGCGUCGCCAGAGGUCGCCUCACGACGCCAAGUUCGCCUUCACCGCUCCCCGGCAACAACGCUGUUACCUCUCCUGCGCUGCUUCUCCUGCCCGAGCUCCUCAAGUCAAGCCGGAGAUCCCUCGCAUCAAGCCGCCGCCGCUUCGAUCGCGCGACGCUGCGCCUUCGCCAAGCUCCGCCAUCGCGCCCUGCUUCCCCUGUUUCGAGCAGACGAACAAGGCAGCCAUGGCCCUGUUUGACCGAACCGGACACAACCACGAGCGAACGCGCCCUUCCUUCGCCUUCGUUGACCGCGCCGCCCCAGCCCAGAUCCAGCCAGGCCCAGUCGGGCCAGAUCCGCACCGCCCUCGCUGGCCUUCCUCUUCACCAGCGGGCCAAGCCCAUGGGUUAGAACGCGCCCAGCACCUCCCCUGUUCCUGUUGGGCCAGGAAGAUUCGGCCCGUACUGUUUUUUUCCGUUGCUGCGAAUUUAGCUAAUUUCCACAGGAUUGCUGUUUUACAGAAAAGCCCUUGUUGAUCAUGCAUUUAAUAAUUCCACAACCGUGCAUCGGAUUGAAAUGUUUUA